rnacentral:rRNA from 1 species
UACGGAGGAUCCAAGCGUUAUCCGGAUUUAUUGGGCGUAAAGAGCUCGUAGGCGGUGUGUCACGUCGGCCGUGAAAACCUGCAGCUUAACUGUGGGCGUGCGGUCGAUACGGGCAUCACUGGAGUUCGGCAGGGGAGACUGGAAUUCCUGGUGUAGCGGUGAAAUGCGCAGAUAUCAGGAGGAACACCGGUGGCGAAGGCGGGUCUCUGGGCCGAUACUGACGCUGAGGAGCGAAAGCGUGGGGAGCAAACAGG